GUAGGUGGCAAGCGUUGUCCGGAAUUAUUGGGGCGUAAAGCGCGCGCAGGCGGUUCUUUAAGUCUGAUGUGAAAGCCCACGGGCUCAACCGUGGAGGGUCAUUGGAGACUGGAGAACUUGAGUACAGAAGAGGAAAGCGGAAUUCCACGUGUAGCGGUGAAAUGCGUAGAGAUGUGGAGGAACACCAGUGGCGAAGGCGGCUUUCUGGUCUGUAACUGACGCUGAGGCGCGAAAGCGUGGGGAGCAAACAGGAUUAGAUACCCUGGUAGUCCACGCCGUAAACGAUGAGUGCUAAGUGUUAGGGGGUUUCCGCCCCUUAGUGCUGCAGCUAACGCAUUAAGCACUCCGCCUGGGGAGUACGGCCGCAAAGGCUG
rnacentral:rRNA from 1 species